rnacentral:rRNA from 1 species
CCUACGGGUGGCAGCAGUGAGGAAUAUUGGUCAAUGGACGAGAGUCUGAACCAGCCAAGUAGCGUGAAGGAUGACUGCCCUAUGGGUUGUAAACUUCUUUUAUAUGGGAAUAAAACGUUCCACGUGUGGGAUUUUGUAUGUACCCUAUGAAUAAGGAUCGGCUAACUCCGUGCCAGCAGCCGCGGUAAUACGGAGGAUCCGAGCGUUAUCCUGAUUUAUUGGGUUUAAAGGGAGCGUAGGUGGAUUGUUAAGUCAGUUGUGAAAGUUUGCGGCUCAACCGUAAAAUUGCAGUUGAAACUGGCAGUCUUGAGUACAGUAGAGGUGGGCGGAAUUCGUGGUGUAGCGGUGAAAUGCUUAGAUAUCACGAAGAACUCCGAUUGCGAAGGCAGUUCACUGGACUGCAACUGACACUGAGGCUCGAAAGUGUGGGUAUCAAACAGGAUUAGAUACCCCGGUAGUC